GGACUGAGACACGGCCCAGACUCCUACGGGAGGCAGCAGUGGGGAAUAUUGCACAAUGGGGGAAACCCUGAUGCAGCGACGCCGCGUGGAGGAAGAAGGUCUUCGGAUUGUAAACUCCUGUUGUUGAGGAAGAUAAUGACGGUACUCAACAAGGAAGUGACGGCUAACUACGUGCCAGCAGCCGCGGUAAGACGUAGGUCACAAGCGUUGUCCGGAAUUACUGGGUGUAAAGGGAGCGCAGGCGGGAGAACAAGUUGGAAGUGAAAUCCAUGGGCUCAACCCAUGAACUGCUUUCAAAACUGUUUUUCUUGAGUAGUGCAGAGGUAGGCGGAAUUCCCGGUGUAGCGGUGGAAUGCGUAGAUAUCGGGAGGAACACCAGUGGCGAAGGCGGCCUACUGGGCACCAACUGACGCUGAGGCUCGAAAGUGUGGGUAGCAAACAGGAUUAGAUACCCUGGUAGUCCACACCGUAAACGAUGAUUACUAGGUGUUGGAGGAUUGACCCCUUCAGUGCC
rnacentral:rRNA from 1 species